rnacentral:lncRNA from 1 species
AUGCGGAUCCCAUAUCCCGCAUCCCAUAUCCUGCACCCCCAUAUCCCGUAUUUGGUGCCCCACACCCUGUAUCCUGCACCCCCGUAUCCCCUAUCCCGCACCCCCAUAUCCCAUAUCUGGCACCCUGCAUCCUGCACCCCAAUAUCUCAUAUCCUGCACCCCAUAUCCUGUAUCUGGCACCAUGCGUCCUGUAUCCUGCACCCUGCACCCCCAUAUGCCAUAUUCUGCACCCUACAUCCUGCACCCCCCUAUCCCAUAUCCCGUACCCUACAUCCCGUAUCCCACACCCCCAUAUCCAGCAUCCCGUGCCCGGCGCCCCUCAUCCUGCACCCUGCAUCUGGCACCCUGUAUCCCGUAUCCUGCACCCAGCAUCCCAAACCCCGUAUCCCGCAGCCCACAACCCUUGUCCCAUAUCCUGCAACCGGCAUCCCGAACCCCGUAUCCCACAGCCCAGGUCCUGUGCCCUGUGCCCUGCAUCCCCCAUCCUGCACCGUGUCCUGCACCCCGUAUCCUGCACCCUCUAUCCCAUAUCCCCCACAUCCUGCCCCCUGCCGCCGCCUUUUCCAGGCUGGGGGGGGGGGGUCCCCGUUUCCCCCGCCGCUGAAGCCACCGCUGCCGCCGGGGCAGUGUUUUCGGCAGAGCGGGUGCCGGCGAGGCUGGACGCCGUGGUGGUGGGCAGCGGCAUCGGGGGGCUGGCGGCGGCGGCGCUGCUGGCCAAGGCGGGCAAGCGGGUGCUGGUGCUGGAGCAGCACGGCAAGCUGGGCGGCUGCUGCCACACGUUCAGCGAGAAGGGCUACGAGUUCGACGUGGGUAAGGGCCGCCCGGCCCCAAAUUUCACCCGGUUAUUCCACCCCCCACCGGAGCGGGCGGACGCACAGCUUCGGCACCCGUGGGUGGGCGGCGGGGACCGACCGGGCGCCCCGAGGCCGCCGCCACCGAGACAAAGUCCCUUCGCUGCGCGGCCGCCCGGUGCCGCGGUUAAUUUUUUACUUUUACGGCGAAGCGGAACGGCGUUCCUUAAAUCCGUGGAAAAAAAAAAAGGCCAGUGGGUGCCGGCUUCCGUGGCUGGAUGUGAACUCUGCCCCAUGGCCGGCAAGCCGGCAGCACCGGCUGUGUAGAUGCAUAAAUAUAUAUAUAUAUGAAAAAUGUAGAUAUGUGCACAAGAUAUAUACCCAUACAAAAAAAAAGUGUGUAUAUAUUAUAUAUAUAUAUAUGUGUGUGUGUGUAUAUAUAUAUAUAUAUAUAUAUACACAUUUGCAGCUCGCGUUUCCCUGCUGUUCCCUUUCCCGUCAACCCAGAGCCGCGGGAAAUGGGAUGGGAAAAAACCUGCCCCAGGCUUGGUGGUCCCACGGGGGGGGAUUCCCACGGGGCAGUUCCCAUGGGGGGAGAUUCCCAUGGAGGGGCCAUUCCCACAGAGUGAUACCCAUGGGGGGGGUGAUUCUCAUGGGGUAA